UGUUUCAUCAUUACAAUUUAUUUUCUUUCAAAAGAGUUUUUUUUAAAAUAAAAAACAAUUUAAAAAAAUUCAUCAGGAGAAAACUCGAUGAAAAUCUGUUCCAGUUGUGAAGGAUUUUUGUAAUACUUAAAAUAAACAUCAUAAAACUGAAUUAUUUGCCUCUAAUCUUAAUUUUUGUGAUUAGCCAUCACACAAAACCAAAAUGACAUUCACAGAAAAUGAAUUUGAUAAAUUGACUAACUCUGGUGAUUUAUUGAGAAAUAAUCAUUACAAAUUACAGAGUUUCUACACAAAUAUAUCAAAAGAUAUUUUCUAUAAAGUACACUGUAAAAUAGAAGGGAUUAAAUAUUAAUCAUUUGGGAUUUUUCAUCAAAAUAAUCCAAAAGGAUUAAAUUUUAGCAAUGUAGGAUUAAAUUUAAAUACUUACUAAUUGUAGCGAAUUGUAGGACCACGUUGAAAUCCCGCACAAAACCCAGGGCCUACGGCCGAGAGCUCCGCGCUUGAUUCAGAUGAGAACGCAAUGUUCGUUGUGUUGUUUGUUGAUUCUGAAAAUGACAAUGAUUAUAUCAAUUUCUAAAUAUGAACGUAAAUUAAAAGUAUGUGUAGCUUCAAUUGAUUAGAUAAAUUCAAAGCAGAAUUAUUGAAAUGAUUACAUACUUGAUUGGAUGCUGCUCGUCUUGAUUGUCGAGCUCGUGCUGGUGGUGCUGGCGGUGGAUCUCCUCCUCCUGCAUUUUCUUCUUCUUCUUCAACAUGCCGUUGAAAUGCUGGAUGUAGCUCUAUAUUCAUAACAGCACACCAUCCUGUUUGUUUAGAAUGUUACGACCUGCAUUUGCAUCACGAUUCCAGGUGAUAGUACGCCCAAUUCGAGUUUUCUCUUCAUAUUUACGAAAUUUUGAUGCCAUACGUGGACCAUCAGUACGGGGACGAUGUUUUCGUUGCUGCGUCAAUUUGCGAUUGCUUUUUCGUGAUUCAAUCGGACAUUGGGCUUUUCCAAGCACAUUUUCUCCACACAAUGGUUCGCAUCCAUGGCAUGUGAGAUAGCGAUAUUUCUCCUUUACUUUGCCCCUUUUUGUCGGUUUUUCAAGUUCACGGAAGCACAACGAACAUAAUUUGGUCGUCCGAAAUUCGUCCACCUCGACCACUGUACAUUUACGGCGACGUUUCAACUUCUCGAACAAAUCUCGCACCUUCGAUCGAAUAUAUCCUCGGGCUGGUGAAUCUGCCGCAAUGAAACGAUCACCGACAAAUAUGAACGUUUGCUUACCAUCGAUGAGCUUGGUUGCAUAUGCAUCAAGUGCUCUAUUCGUGUCAAUGUACUGGAGAAAUGCUUGCAAAGCGUAUUCAUACUGUGUGUAUGCUGUGAACUUUUCUUCAAAAUGACGCAAAAUAUGAUCAGCAUAUGAUUUAUGGUCUUCGGCUCGUGGACCAGGCUGCUCAUCAAAUGACUCACGAUGUAGACGCAUCUUUUCAUCGAUUUCAGUUGUCAACUUUUUGCGCCAUUUGUUCCGUCGCGAUGAAUUUAUCAUAUCUUGGUAUUGGCCCGAUGUCAAUCGAAUGAUUGUUUCAGUGCGAUUAUUUCGAUCGUUGAAAUUGUUAAUGCGCACACCACCAAUGACCAAACGUAGUCCAGGAUCGAGACCAUACACUUGUUGGCUUUUCAGAAGCAUCUCUUGUGUCUCUUUCAUACGCUCUUCAUCUUUUUUUUCAAUGAUGAAUUUUGUUCGUUCCAUCAAAAAUGACAUACCGACACCAUCUGUUUGAAUGGAGUUGUCGAAUUUUAUUGUUGCAUGGCCAUCAUUUUUGUUUCUCGGUUCUCUUUUGAUGCUAUCGAUGUCGAAAUACAGACGCCAUAAUACAUCCCAUUCUUUAUUUUUGAUGUCUUCCUCCUGUUUUGGGCCGCCGUUUUUAUUGCGAAAUAAUCGAUGUGGACAUUCUAUCUGUCUCAACAUGCGAUAAAACACUCUACGAUCAAUUCGAAUGUAAUGUCUUUCGAACGAUGACGUUGGUACCACGGUGAAAAUUCUGUAUUCACGAAGCUCGGUUCGUUCACCUCGCUUCAAUGUGGCUUUUCGUUCACGUUCAUGAUUGCGAAUGUACCCAUUUUUGUAUAUUUUCCAAAAAAUAAAUUGAUAAAAUUACUCGUGUGAUAUUUGUAGAAUUGUCAAAAUGGAAAAAAAUGGCAUAAAAAAUACAAUCGUUUGAUUCACAAUAAUAAAUGAACGAAAACUCACUGUUGCAAAUUCAGGAAUAUUGGUAUGUAUUUGAACCAAUUGCUUUCCAUAGCAAAAAAGUACCCUUUCCCAUCGUCGAAUCGGAUUGACUUUAAUGUAUUUUCCAGUUCCCACAUCAAAUUCAGGUCUGGCACACAGUUGGAGUUUCGCUUGAAUAAGAAAUCCAUGGUGUCAUCAAUUUGUGCUUUGCUCGCGUUUUGAUGUGUGAAAAACUUUCGGAUGCGUGAGUGAGCGUGCAUACAAAUAUUAUUUUUGUAAUUUGUAUAAAACAUUUGUACUGCGUAUUCAACUACAUUCCCGAAUCCUCCAAUUACUGGAGCUCGAACACCGUAUUUUUGGCAAUAGUACCAAAUGCCGUAACACAACCUGUACCCGCUUUCUCUGGCGUCGUUAAAUGCAUGCUCAAUGAACUGAACGCCGUAAAACCAAUCUCGAAA